GAGUUUGAUCCUGGCUCAGGAUUAACGCUGGCGGCAUGCCUAAUACAUGCAAGUCGAACGGAGUAGCAAUACUUAGUGGCGAACGGGUGAGUAACACGUAUCUAAUCUACCAUUUAGUGGGGAAUAACUGUUGGAAACGACAGCUAAUACCGCAUAAUAUUGCUGGAUAAUUUCCAGUAAUGAAAGGAGCUUUCAAGCUCCGCUGAUUGAUGAGGAUGCGGCGCAUUAGCUAGUUGGUAGGGUAAUGGCCUACCAAGGCAAUGAUGCGUAGCCGAUCUGAGAGGAUGAACGGCCACAUUGGGACUGAGACACGGCCCAAACUUCUACGGAAGGCAGCAGUAGGGAAUUUUUCACAAUGGGCGAAAGCCUGAUGGAGCAAUGCCGCGUGACUGAUGAAGGUCUUCGGAUUGUAAAGGUCUGUUGUAAGGGAAGAAAUGGUAAAACAGGAAAUGGUUUUAUCUAUGACGGUACCUUACCAGAAAGCCACGGCUAACUAUGUGCCAGCAGCCGCGGUAAUACAUAGGUGGCAAGCGUUAUCCGGAUUUAUUGGGCGUAAAGGGUGCGUAGACGGUUUUGCAAGUCUGAGGUUAAAUUUAGG
rnacentral:rRNA from 1 species